rnacentral:rRNA from 1 species
CCCUUAGAUGUCCUGGGCUGCACGCGCGCUACACUGAUGUGUCCAGUAAGCACCUAACCUAUUCCGAGAGGAGCGGGUAACCUUAGCAAAGCACAUCGUGAUGGGGAUAGAUUAUUGCAAUUAUUAGUCUUGAACGAGGAAUUCCUAGUAAGCACAAGUCAUCAGCUUGUGUUGAUUACGUCCCUGCCCUUUGUACACACCGCCCGUCACUCCUACCGAUUGAAUGUUCCGGUGAGCUCUUCGGACUGCGCGGUCUGCAGUUUCUGCGUUCCGUGCGGAAAGUUGUGCAAACCUUAACAUUUAGAGGAAGGAGAAGUCGUAACA